GAGCGGUGCCCUGAAGCUGGGAGGGAACAGGUGAGCGAGUCGGGACUAAGGGAGGAGAGCUAUACCUUAAGUCACGAGGGAGGAUGUAGAGCAAAUAGAUCUUUCGGCGGCAGCAGCUUUGGGGAGUCCAUGGCCAUCAGUCACUCCCUACUCCUUCUUGGCUGCCUGACAGCGGGGAUAGCACCUGCUACCACACGUUUCUUGAUCUAUGAUCUUGGAGAAGGUUUAUGCUAAAUUUUCUAGGACGAGAUCAGCCGUCCGGGGGCACCGUGAUGUCGAAAGGAGCAGCAGGAACACCUGUCUCUACUGGCACCUCCACUGUUGGCAGGGUUUUGGAAUACAUGGCAUUCCCUCCUGCCUCAGGACUCGGCACAGCCAAGAUUCUAAGGCAAGGUAGCUCAGAAGAAAAAGGAGGCGCUGAAAAUCGAAUUCUGAAAGUUUAACUCUGAAAUAUACUUUCCCUCAUGAAGCAAUAAAGAGAGAGGUAUCUGUGGAAGCUCUAAGGGUGGCUGAGGACCAACCACUUGGAUUAUCUUAGUUCUAAAAGGCUGUGCUCAGUAGAAGGAAGAAUGAGUGAAUGACUUAGUACAACCGUGAGAAACACACAGGAACCCCUCGUGAAGAGAGUUAGAGAAGUCAAGACUCAGAAAGAACAAGAGACUUUUGAAAAAUGUUGAAGAGGACAAGAGGCUUUUAAGUUAACGUCAGCACUUCGUAUUUGGAGUGGUGGUGCGAGGUCAGCAAACAACAUAAAAAUCUGCUCUUCCACGUCCUCAUUUGCCUCUGUCUCACAGGUUAAGCAGAAUGCUGUUCUGACCAGAAAGGGUGGAAAAGGAGGGAUAAGAGAGCUGGUAGGCCAAUAUAUGGAGAAAGAUCAUCAGAGAACAAUGUUUAGAUUUUCACGUCCUCUGUUUCCUAUGAAGAUGAGAAUCACUGUGUCAUAGCGCUGGAGGGAGCAGGGACAAUGGGGAAAUGCUAGCAGUCCAAAGGUCUUGGAGUUCUAGAAGGAAUGGUAUAUUAUUUUUUUUUAAUUUUAUUUUAUUUUUAAACUUUACACUAUUGUAUUGGUUUUGCCAAACAGUGGUUCAGGUACAUAUAAAAAGGGAAACGUAAAAAAGCCAUGAUAGUUGUUUUAGGGCUUGGUGAUAGAUGGGAAGGGAGACUGUGGCUCACCUGAAAUCCCUCCAUGCUGAUCUCCCCUACCCCCUGAAAUACAGCCAGUUUUUAGAGGAGUUUUUCUAGCAUAUGACUCUACUCUUUGUCCUUCCUCCUUAUUAUCGUUUCUCACAACUUGAUUUGAACUCAUACAUUUGAAAUAAAGCUCAUUUGUAUUGGGAAGGCAAUAGAACCAUGAAAGAUUUGGUUAGCAACUGUUUGUUGAAAAGGUAACUGAGAGAAGAUUUGGUAAAACGUUUCGCUUUCUGGUCACCUCGGACAAUCUAAUGGCUCUGAUCCUUGGUUUUCUCAUCUUGGAAAUGGGAACAAUAGCUGGGUGGUAGUCAGUGCUUUCUCCUCUUUAGUUCUGUUCCCCCGCCCAUGUUUUCUCUGGUCUUUCCCUGGGUUUUCCAUUCAUUUCAUUUUUGGCUUGUGUUACACAGCACAUUUUAUCAGGUUCACAG
ensembl:lncRNA